rnacentral:rRNA from 1 species
UACAGAGGUCUCAAGCGUUUGUUCGGAUUCAUUGGGCGUAAAGAGCUCGUAGGCGGCUUGUCACGUCGGAUGUGAAAGCCCGGGGCUUAACCCCGGGUCUGCAUUCGAUACGGGCAGGCUAGAGUUCGGUAGGGGAGAUCGGAAUUCCUGGUGUAGCGGUGAAAUGCGCAGAUAUCAGGAGGAACACCGGUGGCGAAGGCGGGUCUCUGGGCCGAAAUUGACGCUGAGGAGCGAAAGCGUGGGGAGCAAAC